UACGUAGGGUGCAAGCGUUAAUCGGAAUUACUGGGCGUAAAGCGUGCGCAGGCGGUUUUGUAAGACUGUCGUGAAAUCCCCGGGCUUAACCUGGGAAUGGCGAUGGUGACUGCAAGGCUAGAGUUUGGCAGAGGGGGGUAGAAUUCCACGUGUAGCAGUGAAACGCGUAGAUAUGUGGAGGAACACCGAUGGCGAAGGCAGCCCCCUGGGUCAAAACUGACGCUCAUGCACGAAAGCGUGGGGAGCAAACAGG
rnacentral:rRNA from 1 species